AUUGUAUUUUCUAAGUAUAUUCUACUUAUUCAGCUUUCUCUAAUUUGGCACGUUCAAUCCAAUCAACAUUUCCUUUUAUAGUCUCAUUAAUUAAUUGAUGUAGCUUAUCAACAAAAAUGGGAAUAAAAGUACCAGGACCUUGAACGAGUAAGUCACCACAUGAGUUUUUCGCUUCCACUGCUAAUUCAGAAGCUAUAUUAUAAAGUAGAGUUGCAGUAAUUGCUGCCAACAAUUUGUCAUUUUGACAAAUAGAAGCCGUUACACCCAUCACACUUCCCAAUGAACAACCCGAAGCGGUAAUUUGUCCUAGUAAGGGAUUUCCAUUUUUAAUGACAUAAGUAGAAUUUCCAUCGCUGAUAACAUCAACUGCACCAGACAUUGCUACUACACAGCGUCUUUCAACAGCAAGGCGGUGAACAGCUGUAAUGCGAGCAGCUAAUGUAUGCUGGGAAAUACUAUCUACUCCUCUCAUCAAACCUUGCUCACCUGCUAAGUUCAUAAUUUCUCCUUCAUUCCCUUUGAUAAUAUCAUAGUAAGCAUAAUUUAACAAAGUAUUAAUAACUUUUGAACGAGCGGUUGUAGCACCUACGGCAACUGGAUCUAAAAUAACGGGCCUGGCUAAAUCAUUGUUGACUUGAGCAGCAUGAAUAUACGUCUUUGUAUUUUCAAGAAUUCCAAUAUUCAAUACAAGAGCACCUGGGGCUUUUGCAAAAUCAGCAACUUCAUCGUAGCUUUCACCCAUAGUUGGAGAACCAUAUGCUGCAAGAGUAACGUUAGCAGAAAAGUUUUUUGCAACAGCAUUAGUCAGAUGAUGAAUUAGAGGAGUGAAAUCCUUCAACUUCUGUAAAGCAGCAGGAAUUUGGUUCAGUAAAUCCUUGGGAGUUGUAAGAGACGAACGUGCUUGAGCAAAGCAUGGAGGAGUGGC